UCAGCGAUGAGGGAUGAGCGAGUAACACAUGUAUCAGCAUACAAGAUAGUAGCUUUAGUUUCAUCCAUUCUUUGACAACAAAUACUACUGAUCAAUGUAAACAAACUUGUAGUCAAGAAUAAGAGAUUAUUUUAUCGAGAAUAUAAUUUUCAAUCAUUUGGGGUAAGGUAGAGGAACAGCAUUCUCUCUUUUUUCAAUGAUUUAUGUGGUUAGCCGGUCGUGGUUAACGUCAGCCGCCACUGAUGGGCGGUAUGACAGCGAGCUCGUCGCCGUCGGCGACCGCGGUGGAGUCGGCCGCGUACUCCUCGUUGAGCGCGAGCACGACGGAGCCCCGGAUCUCCUCCAGAUUGGGGAACUGGGCCAGGACCCGGGCGAGGCACUCCCCCGCGGUGCUCCCCGGCGGCACCUCCACCGCCGAAUCCGCCACGCCCGUCAGGUCUCGCGCGCGGGCGAAGAAGAGCACCUUCACCGUCGCGGCUGGCGCUGCCUGUUCUUACCUUUGGGAUUCGUCGACAUCGCCGGAGGAAAGGAAGCGGCCAACUCUAGUCUUUCUUCUGUUGUCAGAA
rnacentral:misc_RNA from 1 species